rnacentral:rRNA from 1 species
UACGGAGGGUGCGAGCGUUGUCCGGAAUCACUGGGCGUAAAGGGCGCGUAGGCGGCGCGGGGAGUCAACGGUGAAAGCUCGGCGCUCAACCCUGAAUCGGCCGUCGAUACUCCUGGGCUCGAGCACUGUAGAGGCAGAUGGAAUUCCGGGUGUAGCGGUGGAAUGCGUAGAGAUCCGGAAGAACACCGGUGGCGAAGGCGGUCUGCUGGGCAGUUGCUGACACUGAGGCGCGACAGCGUGGGGAGCAAACAGG